UCCAAUUUUUCACUAUGUUCCAUAUCUAACCGAUAGGGAAGCAACUUGGCGACAUUUUGAGUUUGACAAGCAGCCGAAGGACUCAAAUACAUCAGAAGAAGAUUUCCAUGAAAGAGUACAGCAACAUUAUGAACCUUAUAAGCACUGCCACGAAUCUAACACACCAGAAGAAGAUUUGUAUGAGCAAGUUGGAAUACAGUACGCAGAAAUAUUAGGAGAAGAGGGACUUGAUUGUGAAGAUAAUAAUAUACCCUCGGAAAGUGGCCUUUAUAACAUUCAAUAAAAUGUUCAUUAAAAUUACAUUACAAAGUUAUAAUUUCCUUAUAAAAGGCAUUUUA